rnacentral:rRNA from 1 species
GACAGAGGGUGCAAACGUUGUUCGGAAUCACUGGGCGUAAAGCGCGUGUAGGCGGCUUUGCAAGUCGGGUGUGAAAUCCCACGGCUCAACCGUGGAAGUGCACUCGAAACUGCAAGGCUAGAGUCCUGGAGAGGAAGGUGGAAUGCUUGGUGUAGAGGUGAAAUUCGUAGAUAUCAAGCGGAACACCGGUGGCGAAGGCGGCCUUCUGGACAGUGACUGACGCUGAGACGCGAAAGCGUGGGGAGCAAACAGG